rnacentral:rRNA from 1 species
UACGUAGGUGGCAAGCGUUGUUCGGAUUUACUGGGCGUAAAGGGCGCGUAGGUGGUGCGGUAAGCCCUCCGGGAAAGCUUCAGGCUUAACCUGAAAAGGUCGGGGGGGACUGCCGCGCUAGAGGACGGGAGAGGAGCGCGGAAUUCCCGGUGUAGCGGUGAAAUGCGUAGAGAUGCGGAGGAACACCGAUGGCGAAGGCAGCCCCCUGGGCUAACACUGACGCUCAGGCACGAAAGCGUGGGGAGCAAACAGG